rnacentral:rRNA from 1 species
AAAUUGAAGAGUUUGAUCAUGGCUCAGAUUGAACGCUGGCGGCAGGCCUAACACAUGCAAGUCGAACGGUAACAGGAAUCAGCUUGCUGAUUUGCUGACGAGUGGCGGACGGGUGAGUAAUGUCUGGGAAACUGCCUGAUGGAGGGGGAUAACUACUGGAAACGGUAGCUAAUACCGCAUAAUGUCGCAAGACCAAAGAGGGGGACCUUCGGGCCUCUUG